rnacentral:rRNA from 1 species
UAGGGAAUCUUCCGCAAUGGGCGAAAGCCUGACGGAGCAACGCCGCGUGAGUGAUGAAGGUCUUCGGAUCGUAAAACUCUGUUAUUAGGGAAGAACAUAUGUGUAAGUAACUGUGCACAUCUUGACGGUACCUAAUCAGAAAGCCACGGCUAACUACGUGCCAGCAGCCGCGGUAAUACGUAGGUGGCAAGCGUUAUCCGGAAUUAUUGGGCGUAAAGCGCGCGUAGGCGGUUUUUUAAGUCUGAUGUGAAAGCCCACGGCUCAACCGUGGAGGGUCAUUGGAAACUGGAAAACUGGAGUGCAGAAGAGGAAAGUGGAAUUCCAUGUGUAGCGGUGAAAUGCGCAGAGAUAUGGAGGAACACCAGUGGCGAAGGCGACUUUCUGGUCUGUAACUGACGCUGAUGUGCGAAAGCGUGGGGAUCAAACA